rnacentral:rRNA from 1 species
UGCAAGUCGAACGAUGAUCCCAGCUUGCUGGGGGAUUAGUGGCGAACGGGUGAGUAACACGUGAGUAACCUGCCCUUGACUCUGGGAUAAGCCUGGGAAACUGGGUCUAAUACCGGAUACGACCAUCUGGCGCAUGUCAUGGUGGUGGAAAGCUUUUGUGGUUUUGGAUGGACUCGCGGCCUAUCAGCUUGUUGGUGGGGUAAUGGCCUACCAAGGCGACGACGGGUAGCCGGCCUGAGAGGGUGACCGGCCACACUGGGACUGAGACACGGCCCAGACUCCUACGGGAGGCAGCAGUGGGGAAUAUUGCACAAUGGGCGCAAGCCUGAUGCAGCGACGCCGCGUGAGGGAUGACGGCCUUCGGGUUGUAAACCUCUUUCAGUAGGGAAGAAGCGAAAGUGACGGUACCUGCAGAAGAAGCGCCGGCUAACUACGUGCCAGCAGCCGCGGUAAUACGUAGGGCGCAAGCGUUAUCCGGAAUUAUUGGGCGUAAAGAGCUCGUAGGCGGUUUGUCGCGUCUGCUGUGAAAGACCGGGGCUCAACUCCGGUUCUGCAGUGGGUACGGGCAGACUAGAGUGCAGUAGGGGAGACUGGAAUUCCUGGUGUAGCGGUGAAAUGCGCAGAUAUCAGGAGGAACACCGAUGGCGAAGGCAGGUCUCUGGGCUGUAACUGACGCUGAGGAGCGAAAGCAUGGGGAGCGAACAGGAUUAGAUACCCUGGUAGUCCAUGCCGUAAACGUUGGGCACUAGGUGUGGGGGACAUUCCACGUUUUCCGCGCCGUAGCUAACGCAUUAAGUGCCCCGCCUGGGGAGUACGGCCGCAAGGCUAAAACUCAAAGGAAUUGACGGGGGCCCGCACAACCGGCGGAACCAUGCGGAUUAAUUCGAUGC